UUUUCCAAAUUUGCCAAAUGAGUGAAGGUCUAGUGCACAGGAGAUCAAAUUGUGACUAGAUCCACACUCAUUAAGCACGUUUGGAU
rnacentral:pre_miRNA from 1 species